rnacentral:rRNA from 1 species
UACGUAGGGUGCAAGCGUUAAUCGGAAUUACUGGGCGUAAAGCGUGCGCAGGCGGUUAUGCAAGACAGAGGUGAAAUCCCCGGGCUCAACCCGGGAACUGCCUUUGUGACUGCAUAGCUAGAGUACGGUAGAGGGGGAUGGAAUUCCGCGUGUAGCAGUGAAAUGCGUAGAUAUGCGGAGGAACACCGAUGGCGAAGGCAAUCCCCUGGACCUGUACUGACGCUCAUGCACGAAAGCGUGGGGAGCAAGCAGG